rnacentral:tRNA from 1 species
GGCCCCAUCGUCUAACGGUUAGGACAUCAGCUUUUCAAGCUGGUAAUCGGGGUUCGAUUCCCCGUGGGGUCACAA